CGCAGUUUCGUUCCGCUUUCAUCACGUUUGCAUCAGUUGGGCAGUGUUGUGGUGGUCGCGCCAGUGCAAAUACUAGCAUAAUUUUGGUUGGCAGGAAAAAUGGUCCAUCAAAUCAUUUGGUUUGAAAUACAUACCAAACUGAAAGCCUCGUACCAAACGGUUCAAUACGAAUACGUGUACCGUUAAACCCCUAUUAUUUACUGGCUAUAUAUUAUGCCUUAGACACAUUUGAGAUUUUUGGGGGUUUAACAAUGUUUUAUAACUCUUAGAGGAAGUGUUUAUGUAAAGUUUCUUCUUAUUUUCAGAUGAGCCAUUUGAAAACUCACAUGGCUGAAGUUGGGGUGAUCUCGGGAGGCGAUACCUUCAGACUGACGGCAGGAGGUCUGUACUCUAUCACAGCUUCAAUUGGUCAUGGACCGCCCAAGUUGACGUUUGACUGACUGACAUGCAAGGUAACCAAUGACCGUUUUGUUCCAUGUCAUGUUUAGGGGUGUGCAAAUGUAACAUCGAUGUGCCUACAAUAACAGACGGCGUGAAUCUAAAUUCUUCAAGAACGUGCAGGUUUACUGCAACAGUAGAGCUGCGAACCUCACAUAGUUUUGAAAAUCCAGCAAUUAGUUAAUCUUGAUGAGAUCAGAAUGACUGGAUGCCAGUAAUCCUGAUGAAAGCCAUCCUGAGGAUGAUCAUUUCUCCAAUGCUUUUGAUCUGCUGUACAGCACUCGAUGAAAAUCACUGUAUUUCUGGAAAGCGGCUUUAAUAAAAUCUGUAUAUUAAAAAGCGCUAUUUAAAUAAAGGUGACUUGACAGCAAUCUCUUUAAUUUGUUUCCAACUAUUUUUAUUACUAUUUAUGUUUAUGAAAUAGUAAUAAAAAUAUCUGAAAACAAAUUAAAGACAUCUAUCUAAAUGAAUUCCAUCUCUUUGCAUUUUACAGUUGUUGUUGUUGUUUUUCUUUUUACACAAGACAGAUUGUAGUGUACCUUGAGAUUUAUGUAAAAUUGUCAGGCCAACAACUAAUGUUGACAACAAGCACUAAUAAACUCUGCUCCUUGCACAA